UACGAAGGGGGCUAGCGUUGCUCGGAAUCACUGGGCGUAAAGGGUGCGUAGGCGGGUCUUUAAGUCAGGGGUGAAAUCCUGGAGCUCAACUCCAGAACUGCCUUUGAUACUGAGGAUCUUGAGUUCGGGAGAGGUGAGUGGAACUGCGAGUGUAGAGGUGAAAUUCGUAGAUAUUGGGAAGAACACCGGUGGCGAAGGCGGCUCACUGGCUCGUAUCUGACGCUCAGGCGCGACAGCGUGGGGAGCAAACAGG
rnacentral:rRNA from 1 species